UUUCGACACUCAGCUCCGCCUUUCUUAUAGGCCGAGGUCUGGCCGACCGAAACUACAACUCCCGGCAGGCUCCGGCAGGCUUGGCGACAGUUUGCGGGGCAGUACGGGAAUUGUAGGCUCAGGCCUUCGUGAUUGCUGCAAGCUGCGCUGGCCUUCCUCGUGCAGUCACUGCAGCGCUCGCCUUCAAUUUGCAGUUCUCAGCAAAUGCCUGAUUAUAAGAAUCAUCUGUGGGGCUGAUUAAAAGUGUAAAUUAACAGAUACAGAAAUGGAGACACAGAGUUUGUUGCCCUGAUCACAUAGCUAUAGACUGAAGAGGCGGCUUUGAACUCAGGUUUUUUGAAUCCAAAUCUUGCAGUGUUUAACCUAAGACUCAAGCAUCCAAGGUCACCUCAUUACGGCUCUGUGUGAAGACAGCACCCCAAAGGGGCCAUCGAUUUGGAACAUCCGAUCAGCUUUCUAAGUCACAUCCACUAGCUCGUAAAAUCCAAUAAAUGUCAAAGAUCUGUCAGGCCCAUUAACCUCUCGAGGUCUAUUAAAAGACUGCUUUCGCUAA